rnacentral:rRNA from 1 species
CAGUCGCCACGGUAAAACGAUGGGUGCAAGCGUUAAUCGGAAUUAUUGGGCGUAAAGCGUGCGCAGGCGGUUUGUUAAGACAGAUGUGAAAUCCCCGGGCUCAACCUGGGAACUGCAUUUGUGACUGGCAAGCUAGAGUCCGGCAGAGGGGGGUGGAAUUCCGCGUGUAGCAGUGAAAUGCGUAGAUAUGCGGAGGAACACCGAUGGCGAAGGCAGCCCCCUGGGCCAACACUGACGCUCAUGCACGAAAGCGUGGGGAGCAAACAGGAUUAGAGACCCGUGUAGUCCCUGUCUCUUAUAU